ensembl:lncRNA
AGAAACAGUACAUUCAAGAAAGUCAGUAUCGCGGACUGGGUAUGAGAUUACAGUUGGAAGCUACUUUUCUGUUUGUGGAUAUGACAAGCCACGCACGGGCGAAUGACGGUCACAGGGAGCCUGGAGCCUAUCCCAGAGGACUUGGGGCACAAGGUGGGGGACACCCUGGACGGGGUGCUAACCCAUCGUAGUGCACAAUCCCACACACUCGCACACUCAUUCUCACACUACAGACCAUUUGGAAAUGCCAAUCAGCCUACAAUGCAUGUUUAUGGACUGGGAGAGGAAACCGGAGUACCCAGAGGAAGACCCUAAAGCAUGGGAAGAACAUGCAAGCUCUGCGCACACACAGGGCAGAAGUGGGAAUCGAACCACAAACCCUCUUCCUCCAGCUGCUGCACUGAGCUUCACGGUGUGUUCACCUGGGACAUCAGGUCAGACUUCUCACUGUCCAGCUGAGCACUGGACUUGAUCGCUGGCCCAUAUUUCCCUUCAGCUUCAGCCACAGUGACCUGGAAGUUCAAAAACUGGCUUUAUUUACUUCUAUACCCCACACACAUUCAGACACUGUUGUGGACUUGAUUCGUCACUCAUCAGAUCAGCCUGAAAUGUUUUGCGGACACAGGACCAAAUGUCUUCACAACAUGACUGAACAAGGAUCAACACAGACAGUUCACAAUAGCAGUCAUAAUUACAUGAGAAGAAGAAGUUGAAAAGAUUACUCUUAGUGACUCCUUGUUGUGUGAUUGAGUUUCCUUCAUUUCAUCAUACGACAACUUCAGGUCACUGUGAGUUUCCCGCUCACGCUUACACUCCUAAAACACAGUCAUGGAGCAAAAGACAUUUUUAACUUAGUGCUAAACUAGCUGCUUCACUUCAAUGAAGAAGGAAUAACUUCAAAGUAGAGUGAAUUUUGGUCAUGUAGAAUUUGUGAAUUUUACGUUUUUGUUUACAUUACAAGUAUUUUUCUUUAGUUUAUAAGGCUGUCUUGCUGAAACACAUGUAAAGUAAAAAUACCCAAAUUAAAUAAAUUCACUCUCUCUAAGCCUACCUCCUGAGUUCUCAACUUCCUCAUGCCAACCAGGGUGCAACAGUCUCUGAUGGCUCAUUUGAAUUUUAUCAUGAAAGAAACAAAAACGGUCGGAGCACAGAAAAAUCGUAGCGGAGUUACAGCUUCCUGUAGCCUUAUUACAUAAAGUUGACUUGGCAGGGGAAUUGGCAUCCGUGUUCUCAACAUUCUACGAGGGCGAAC